UUUAUAUAAUAUUAUUUUUAUAACGUUGUUUAAUUUAAUUAUACUUAGUUUUUCUGGUGGCAACACUUCACUUGAUUUAUAAUCUUUAAAACAGUGAAAUGUAGAUGAUUUGACAUUACGGCUUGGGCUAGGUUAUAAAUAUCGUAUGUCGGUAGGCAAAGCCCUCUUUUCCCUGACGAGCCGCCGACCACGACUAAGAUAAGUACAAUAAGAAUGGAUCUCUCGGCUAUGCAAGAAUUUCUCAUGGCCAUCAAGAACGCUGUCUCCGGGAGUCGGAGUAAAGACGACGACGUUGCUUUGCCUAUUUUUGACCCGGCCACGAGU
rnacentral:misc_RNA from 1 species